rnacentral:rRNA from 1 species
AUGAACGCUGGCGGCGCGCCUAACACAUGCAAGUCGAACGGCACCCCUCUCCGGAGGGAAGCGAGUGGCGAACGGCUGAGUAACACGUGGAGAACCUGCCCCCUCCCCCGGGAUAGCCGCCCGAAAGGACGGGUAAUACCGGAUACCCCCGGGGCGCCGCAUGGCGCCCGGGCUAAAGCCCCAACGGGAGGGGAUGGCUCCGCGGCCCAUCAGGUAGACGGCGGGGUGACGGCCCACCGUGCCGACAACGGGUAGCCGGGUUGAGAGACCGACCGGCCAGAUUGGAACUGAGACACGGUCCAAACUCC